ACUACAACAACUCUUGGUCUUUCUUAAAAAGCGAUUUCUGUGAAAGAAAAUAUCUCCCUUUGCACUAAACUUUGAGCAUCAUAACUUGCUCAAACAGCAACAUUACACAAAGUCAAACAAAGUUACUACAGUUAACAAAGUGAAAUCAUAAUCAAGGACCCCUUUAAAUAUACAGUAAUGAAAUCAAAAUUGAUCAUUCUUGUUUUUAACGGAUUAUAUCAGUAUUUAUUAUAAAUGAUCUAUCAGUGCACAUCAUUAUUAUUAUUAUUUAAAAUUUUUAAAGGGGACCUAUUAUAGGACCCCUUUUUCAAGAUGUAAUUUUUGAGUGCAUGCAAAAACAUGCUGUUGUCGUGCAUGUGUCUUUAAAUGCAAAUUAGCUACUGCUGCUCCCCGCCCCUUUCCAGGAAAGCGCUUCCUGCAUCGGAUACUCUGCCAAAUGCUAACAAAACAUCUGCUUGCUUAUGAUCAUCAUCUAUAUCGCGAUCACGCUCACGGACAUUGCAGUUCUUCAUCAUGUUUAAGCCAUGAGAGAUGUUGUCUGCAGUGAGGAAAGCUGAAACCAGGUGGGUGAUAGAACCAGCUUCUCCACAGUGUGGACGGAACUGAAAGGAGAGGAAGAGAGAGAAAUCAGAAGGGCUCACCCUUUCCUAUACAUGGGCUGGAGAGCUGCUUCACUAUGGGCGUCUGGAGUCUUCGCAUCAUUUCCUGUGUGCUCAGGCCUGGAGAGUGAGAGGACAAAACAGCAUGCGCAGGAGCAGGACAGGACUGGAGCAAAGGAGAAAUGAAUCGGAGGGCAGAUUAAUGAGGUGUCGAUGAGUGAGGCAGAUGGCACCAGUCCCAGAAUUCAACUGGAAAUUCUUAGCAAAAGAACGCCAACUCCAACGAUUAUAUCACCACAAGGUGGAGCUAUAGCAUUAAAAUAAGAUACGAAUGAAUACAUUAUUUUUAGCUGCAAGGUGAGAGUUAUGGUUGGGAGUGUCUGACCCCCUUGAAAAAGGCUUAACCCAUUAUUCAAAUGAACAUUUUCACCUAUUUUAUUACAUGCAGUAGUUCACAUAACUCUAGUAUUGCUGUUUUCGACUCUUUAAGUUGCUGUUGUGGAUGUUGACUGUUGAUUUAAGCUUUCUGGCAUCAGAAUGUGUCAAAUUUUUCAGGCUUAUUGAGUAGCUACCACAAUAAAUUGACUUAAAAACAUAAAAAACAACCCAGCUUUAGGGGGAAACAGUUUAUUAAUGGAAUUAUAUGGAUACUUUUUCAUCCUGCAUUCAAUGGAUGGUUCUUAAGCAAAAUCUAUCGAUGUUUUCCUGGCACUGUGAUUACCAUCAUGGUGAUUUUAUAUUAAGGCUACAUAGGUGCAACAGUAAAAAGUGCAUUUCG